AAUCUUCCACAAUGGGCGAAAGCCUGAUGGAGCAACGCCGCGAGAGUGAAGAAGGAUUUCGGUUCGUAAAACUCUGUUGUAAGGGAAGAACAAGUACAGUAGUAACUGGCUGUACCUUGACGGUACCUUAUUAUAAAGCCACGGCUAACUACGUGUCAGCAGCCGCUGUAAUACGUCGGUGGCAAGCGUUGUCCGGACUUAUUGGGCGUAACGCUCGCGCAGGUGGUGUCUUAAGUCUGAUGUGAAAGCCCACGGCUCAACCGUGGAGGGUCAUUGGAAACUGGGAGACUUGAGUGCAGAAGAGGAUAGUGGAAUUCCAAGUGUAGCGGUGAAAUGCGUAGAGAUUUGGAGGAACACCAGUGGCGAAGGCGACUAUCUGGUCUGUAACUGACACUGAGGCGCGAAAGCGUGGGGAGCAAACA
rnacentral:rRNA from 1 species